GACGAACGCUGGCGGCGUGCCUAAUACAUGCAAGUCGAACGGGUGCUUUCCCAGUGGCAACACUGUGAAAGUGCUAGUGGCGAACGGGUGAGUAACACGUGAGCAACCUGCCCUGAAGACGGGGAUAACAGCCGGAAACGGCUGCUAAUACCCGAUGUCUCUGCCUGGUCGCAUGGCCAGGCAAAGAAAUGGAUUCCGCUUCAGGAGGGGCUCGCGACCUAUCAGCUUGUUGGUGAGGUAACGGCUCACCAAGGCGUCGACGGGUAGCUGGUCUGAGAGGAUGAUCAGCCACACUGGGACUGAGACACGGCCCAGACUCCUACGAGAGGCAGCAGUAGGGAAUCUUGCGCAAUGGGCGAAAGCCUGACGCAGCAACGCCGCGUGGGGGACGAAGGCUCUCGGGUUGUAAACCCCUUUCGACAGGAACGAAACUGACGGUACCUGGAGAAGAAGCCCCGGCUAACUACGUGCCAGCCGCCGCCGUAAUAC
rnacentral:rRNA from 1 species